CCUAAUUCUCUCCUACAAAAGAAAAGAAAAGCAAAAAAGAAAAAAAGAAAAAAAAUCUAAAAAUUAAAAUCUAAAUCUGUUCAGAAUCGAACAGAAGCCCACGAGGAACACAAGAGAAACAUGGGGUGAGCGACUCAAGCGAAAAUGGGAACAGAUCUCAGUAUCCAAGUUUCGGUUUUAAGUCGGGACGCGGCGUCGUUUAGCAAAUCAGGAUGAUGGGAUAAGAAACUGGAAAGAACAACAUGGCAUUUGUUGAUUUGAGUUCAGUGGGUUUGGUGGUGGCUUGGUGGAAUUCAAAGUCCGCACCUACUUCCUACUAGUGGAGCUUCAGGGUUGGCUCUUGGCUAUCUACGACUGACUUCUCCUUUAGAUUUGGUGGGAAAAAAGCCCUUCAAAUAUUGAAAAUAAAGAAGAAUUUAAGGAUUUUGUUCAAGGGAAAACAGUAAUCAACGAUCAUAGGAGAAUUACUGGGAAGUGGAGGAAACCCCGGAAGCUCUUUUGGGAGAAAUGAAUUGAACAUCUAGUAGGGUAAAGAGAAAGUUUGAGCCUGAUCGAAUCAACUUAGCUUCUGAAUGAACCAUUCUAUAUGAAGAACAAUCUAUGUUUUCCAAAGAAAAACACUGAAAAGGAUUGUGGGUUAGAGUGGGAAUUCGAUGGUACAUACCUGAAGGUGUUGAUCCACAAGUGGUUUUAAAGGCUCCAUCCAAACAAUAGCAAGUGAAUUCACCCAAACUUGGUUUCGAACCACACUGGCCACCCGAGUCUUGACACUGGUAACACAAGCUAUUGUCUAUCCUCCAAUGCAACUCAAAUCCAGUUUCGAGAGCUUUUAUUAGAUUAUCCUCACUUGGAUUGCUCUCUAGAGUUUGCAUCUCUGAUUGAGAGAUUGCAACAUCAACACCAUGGUUACAUCUCACGUUGUUUAAGCUAUCACUAUUGGUAUCCUGUGUUACGAUGAGGUUAACAUAAUCUGUACUGUUUAUAUUGCAACUAAACCUUCCAGGAAGCUUAGCCGGCAAGGAUGAACAGUCAUACAGUAGCUUUAGAGGUUGAGUGUUUGAGCUGUAGUAGAAGAUGUUCGAGUCAAACGUGCUGUCUUUCAAGUACCGUGGACAAGUAUUGUUCUCUAUUCUAGCUACCGUCAGAGCCUGUGUGUUGGUGUCAAUCUCGAGAACUCGGUAGGCGAUGGACUCGAUCUCGAUUUCUACACCAUCUUCACAGGUCAACUUAAAACUUGGAUGGCCGCAGUAAUCAGGCCGAUUCGGACCCCAAAAAGGAUAACCGAGAUUUGAAUAUCUGAAGCAGUUCAAUGAUGAGUUGCAGUUCAAAUAUUUCUCCUCCUCAUCAUCAUCACAUAAAAUAAUCAGUGGUUGGAUUAGAACUGUUGCUAUGAAUGUCAAAACUAGAAGCAAGGCUUUGGAGGGACUGGGAGGCAUCUUUUUUUUACAGGGGUAUGUAAAUUUAGAGCUAUGAAAUAGAGAAGAAUGGAUAAAAUGGUUUACUCUCUCAUCAGAAAUGAUGAUUUCAUUGAAGGACUUUAACGAACUGGGAUGUGAAGUUUCGUCAAAGAGAAGCUUCCGUAAGUGAUACUCUACCAAUGCCAGUCAAUCAACGUUUAGCUCAACUAACUGGGUCUAAAUACAAAUAUCCACAUCUAUUUGUCACAGCACAUCUAUCUCUUUCUCUAUCUAGGCAGGGGGGCUCAAACGAAGAAAAAAGUCUUCCUGCCUAUUAGUCGUCCUUGAUCAAAAAAAUUAUCUAAACAAGUUGAUGAAAUUUUAAAGUCCAUCUUACUUUAAUCUCCCAAACUUCUGAAGUGGAAAGAUUAUAGAUAUAAGUUAAAAUGUAAAUUUGUUCCCCCUGCAACAACUAGAAAUUCCAUUUCGCUUUCAACUCUACAACCCAUCCAAGUGAACGCUUCAAAUGGUGGCCCAACCUCAUUGAUCACUUACUUAAACCCUGUAUUUGUAUGUAGACUGUAGUGCAAUUAUUGCUACAGAAUAGGGGUAAUGGAUACCAACCAUAUGGCAAAUGAGUUUUUGAAUUUUCUAUCAGUCCGCCGUGGCAGGGAAAAAAAGACAUUCUUGGAGAUUUUCUACUAAAUAAUUUUGACAGAGACUAGACGAUCCUGAUCGGCCAUCAAAGACGUUGGGUGACAAAAUUAUUGAAUAUAUAUACAUAUACACACAUAUAUAUGAAUUCCAUUUGAUUGCAAUAUUAUUUGCUUUAUAUUACUUAAA